rnacentral:rRNA from 1 species
GAAUAUUGGACAAUGGGCGGGAGCCUGAUCCAGCCAUGCCGCGUGCAGGAUGACGGCCCUAUGGGUUGUAAACUGCUUUUAUACGGGAAGAAACGCGCCCACGUGUGGGCGUUUGACGGUACCGUAAGAAUAAGGACCGGCUAACUCCGUGCCAGCAGCCGCGGUAAUAAGGAGGGUCCGAGCGUUAUCCGGAAUCAUUGGGUUUAAAGGGUCCGUAGGCGGGCCUGUAAGUCAGGGGUGAAAGUUUGUGGCUCAACCAUAAAAUUGCCUUUGAUACUGCAGGUCUUGAGUCAUGGUGGGGUUGACGGAACAUGUGGUGUAGCGGUGAAAUGCAUAGAUAUCACAUAGAACACCGAUCGCGAAGGCAGGUGACCAACCAUGUACUGACGCUGAUGGACGAAAGCGUGGGUAGCGAACGGGA